CGAUAAAAGGAAAAUAAGCCAAACGGAAAAGCGCGUGCCUGGGAAAAAAAACCAACGGCUAGAAAAGGAUAUUUUUGAGAACAAUUAAGGAAUUGAGGCAAAGCAAACAAAAGUUUUAAAUGAAUAUUUAUGUGCGUGUCAAGAGUGGAGUGGUUUUUGCGGUGAAAAUUGUAUUCGAUUGCUAUUUCGACAGCUUCUUCGCUAACUGUGACGUAUUUUUGUGCGAACUUUUGCGCUAAUUAAAUACGGUGUAGAGAAAUUUGUGCACAUACAUAUCGAGUAGAGUAACUGUCACUUACGGACAUAUGUGUAUGUGUGUCUGUGUGUGCCCGAAAGGAAAAGUAUUUCAGGCCGUCAUGCGUUUGUGAAAUUCUUUGGCUUACGCUUUUUGUUUGGGAUUCCCUCAACAGCUGCAGCGCAGUCAAAGGCGCACAAACGUACUUAUAUUUACAGUGACAGCAUACAUUUAUGAUAUUUGUAGUGUUAUAUAUGUAUAUAUGUAUGUAUGCAUGCACAUUGUGUUUCAUUAACGUUCGCACAGCUUUUGGCGCAGCUAAGUGGUUUUGAAGUGUAAUUCGCAAGCGAUUUCCGUGCAUCCGUUUCCGGCGGUGUUUUGUGUUUUAGCCCGUAGUGUGCAACUGUAUGUGCGUGCGUGUUUAUGUGCGCUUGCUAUUUGUGGCAAACGCGUGUUACAAGUGUACUAAAUACCACUACUACACCACGGACUAAAAGCAAAAACGUGUUCCAUCGAGUUGGCGCAAUCCGCAUAAAAGGCGUUUGAGCCAAAGCGGGGCGUGCUAUUGUUUUCCCAACGUUUGUGUCGCCAACGUGAUUUCCGGUCGCCCAUUGAGUGGCCGCGUUGCACUGCUUUUGAUAUACUUUGCAAGCAUUUUACUUAUUUGUGUUCUUUUAUUUUAUGCUCAAUGGCCGGCGUACAUGGCGUAUGAGUGAUUUACUUACUUUUCCACCCCAAUGCAUUAGAAGCGCUGCAGUGAGCAGCAAGAAUUUUUUUGCUUGUAAAGCAAAGCAACAAGCAAUAGAUAAAAGUAAGUGACAAAAGCGUGUCGGAAAGUGUUCCGGUCUUUUGGAUUGUUAUCGCAUAACUGUAAACGGCGGAAGUGAUCAGCGACAAGUAGGACGGACAAUAUGACACGCGUGCGUCGAAUUGUGCGUGCGCAACAUUAACCGUAAAACAAUUUAUAAUGACAGCGCUUAAAAGUAUGCAACAUUUCAAGCACUAAAACGUAAAGCGCCUAAAUGUAUGCGUCAUUUAAAUAAAUUACAUGGAAAAACUGCAAAAGCUUUAAAAAUAUUGACCUAACAAAAUUGGGAAAGGAAAAUUCAGAGAACUCAAAAAACAAAGCAAUUACAAAAAAUGUAUAUUUAUGAUGCUGAAAGCGAACAUUACUAAGAGUUUUAUUUAUAAGUGUAAUUACCACAACAUUGCGAUUACAUGAAAUUACGACAAGGAAAAAUAUCCUAUCGAAGUUAACUAAAUUAAAGCGCGGCAAAACGGGAAAAAUUGCAGUCAGCAACUGAAGCGCAGAUUCCCAGAAUUAAUGAGAACUAAAGAAUUACAGCAGAGGCAGCAAACUUACACACACACACCAACAAAGCGAAUCAACUGCAGCAAAAACGUGGCUAAGUUCACUGCAUAAAAAUACGUAGAAAGCCAAUUUGAGGCAAUAAUUGCGGCACACUGAAGCCCAUAAAACAAAGUCAAGAAUACGAAGCCACUCCACAGGUCCUGCGAAAGUCCACUACCACCUGCUUACAAAUACAAAGAACUGAAAAAGGAAUUGAGAAAUUUAAUACAAGUAUUAAUUACAAAGCGUUGUAAUGCCUAUGCAAUGACUGGAGCAAAAUCGACAACUGUAAAGAGUCAGUCCAAGCCAAGCAUAGAACAUCAAGAUUAAGGGGCUCUAAGGAAGGCAGUGGCUUUUGACAUAGAAAACUUUAAUUUAAGAUUCCCGAAAGUCGUUUUUGAGCAGUAAAAAGUAGCGUUGCAGACAUGGCAGAAGGCGAUAAUUACGACGAUGAGUUGGUCUCCAGCAAUCCAAAUCAGCGGAAUUGGCGCGGCAUUUUCAUUGCGCUGUUGGUUAUAAUAAUUGUGCUGGCGUUAAUUGUCACUUCAGUGGUACUCCUCACACCACCCGAUGAGGGGCCGCGAGUCAAGGGGCAACGCAUCAAAUUGCAAGACAUUGUGGAUGGACUAUUUAUGCCACAGCGGUCGAAUGGCACAUGGAUUAGUGGCGAGGAAUUUCUAUACCAGGAUCAUUGGGGACGAAUUGUGUUAUUAAAUGCACCCACUCUUACGGAGCGGGUACUCAUGUCGAAUGUGACGUAUAAAACACUUUCACCCUAUACAUUUACCCUCUCGGCUGACAAACGCUAUAUCCUACUGGCGCAGAAUGUCGUGAAACUCUUCCGGCAUUCAUUUCUAGCUCAAUACACAAUAUUCGAUAUACAAACGAGUGAAAGCAUCAAAUUGAAAAUCGAUGCACAUAGCGAUGAGUGGCCAUAUCUACACUACGCUCGGUUCGUAUCCACCCAAGCAGCUGGCAAUGACAAUGCAACCUCCUCUGCCGGAAAUGCGCUAGUGCUGGUCUACAACUAUGACAUCUACUACUGCCAGGGGCCGCGCUCCACCCAUCAUGUGUACCGUAUAACACGCGACGCUGUGCCCGGCAUCGUCUAUAAUGGCAUACCAGAUUGGCUCUAUGAAGAGGAAAUCCUGCACUCGAAUAAUGCAAUUUGGCUCUCGAAGAAUGGACAUUUAAUGCUUUACGGCGCGUUCAAUGACUCGCUGGUGCAGGAGCAACAUUUCGCUUGGUAUGGCACGACAAGUGGUGGCAACCCGAAUGCGUAUCUGUAUCCGGAAAUCAGAUCAUUAAGAUAUCCCAAGCCAGGCACACAAAAUCCUAUAGUAAAGUUGCGCGUGGCCGACAUUAAAAAUCCGGAGGAUAUCCAAAUAAGGGACAUACAACCGCCGCAUAUACUGCUCAACGAAGAUCACUACUUCAGCAGCGCCGGCUGGGUGAGUGAAACGGAAAUCUGUGUAGUUUGGUUAAAUCGUCCACAAAACAUUUCGGUGGUCAGCAUCUGUAAGAGUCCAUUGUUUAUGUGCGUUGAGACGCAUCGCGUGAGCGGCGAUGGACGCGGUUGGGUGGAUACCAUUUCGGUGCCAUUGUUUGCAGCGAAUGCAACGUCCUAUGUUGCCAUAUCGCCAUUGCGUGACGGCACAUCCGGCUACUUCCGGCACAUUGUGCACGUGCACGUGGCCAAAAAGCGUGUGCUGCCACUAACACAUGGACAAUACGAGGUGAAUGAGUUGCUACAUUGGGACCAACUGAAUAAUUGGAUCUACUUUCUUGGCACACCGGAACGCAUGCCGGGGCAACAGCACCUGUAUCGCGUGUCCGCUUUGCCACCGCGUCACGGCUCACCGCUCCAGCUGCCCGAUUGUCUAACGUGCCCCACGCAAUUGCGUAGUAGCAGCCAUGGCGCCGAGGUGCAUACGAAACCGCCACCAAAAUUAGUGACCGCCUGGGAUGAUGACUGGGAGGACUCGGAGGAGCGUCAAACUUUGCCACCACCAACGCUCACGCCGGAACACAAACGUCCGAAGUCAUCACAGCUCCAUACCGGCGCCAAUGAAUGUCUCUAUCAUACAGCCAAGUUUCCAUGGGUACUUGAAGCUCGUUAUGUGCUCAUUGAGUGCCUGGGUCCAGUGAUACCCACAUCCAGUGUUUAUGCGCUAGCUGGCGUUUAUGGCGAAAUGAGCGAUAAGAAAUCCAUGCCAGAGAAACCCGGAGGAAUGGAAUUGCUCGUGACAAUACAAAACAACACGCGUCUGAAGGAGAAAAUGUUGCGCACUGCUCUGCCGCAGGUGAAAACAUUCCCAGUCAUGAUAUCGGGUGGUUACCAUGCGCAGGUGCGUCUCUACCUGCCGCCAGUGUUACGCGAGGAUGAGAUCACGCGUUACCCUACGAUUUUGCACGUGUACUCCGGUCCGGGCACGCAAUUGGUGACGGAGAAAUGGCACAUCGAUUGGAAUACUUAUUUGUCGGGGACGAAGGAUUACAUUGUGAUUGAAAUCGAUGGGCGUGGUUCAUCGGGACAGGGCUAUCAAUUGCUACAUGAGAUCUACAAGCGACUCGGCUCCGUUGAGGUGUCCGAUCAGCUGGAAGUGAGUGAAUACCUACGUGAUAAUCUGCAUUUCAUCGACGGACGUCGCAUGGGUGUUUGGGGUUGGAGUUAUGGUGGUUAUACUGCCGCACUCGCGCUUGCCGGUACACAAUCGAUAUUUCAGUGCGGCAUAAGUGUAUCGCCGGUGACGAAUUGGAAACUUUAUGAUUCCACUUAUGCUGAACGCUACUUGAGCUUCCCGAAUGUGACUGAUAACUACAAAGGCUACGAGGAGGGUGACCUUUCGAAGUAUGUCGAUAAUCUGCGCGAUCGUCAAUUCCUAUUGGUGCACGGCACCGCCGAUGACAAUGUGCACGUGCAACAAUCUAUGGUGUUGGCACGUGCGCUCACCAACAAGGGUGUACUCUAUAAGCAACAAAUUUACCCUGAUGAAGGACACAGUCUGGCGGGCGUUAAAAGGCAUCUCUAUCGCUCAAUGACGAGUUUCUUCGAGGAUUGCUUUAAAAAGCUGCUUGAGCAACAACUGAGCAACCAAACCGAUUCCGCGGAUUUCUUAGACUUCCACAGUCUUUAUGUAAAUAUAUAAGCGUAAAUUUAUUGAAGCUUCGGGAAUGCGAGUGUGUUCAAAAUUUCGGAUAUAUAACUCCGUUCCACUAGAUGCUUUCGCAGCAAAUGCAAGUGGCUUCGUGAAAAUUCAGUAUUUAAGGUACCGCCCGAAUCAAAAGCUGGCCUUGGAAACGGUGGUGGUAGUGAUAUACAACAGCAAUAAAGUUACGAAUAUGCUUUAAUAUUGGUUAAUUUAAAUUGAACGCAGUGAUGCCUGAAAUUAUGCUCAAAUUCGUAAUAUUUUUUAUUAUUACAAUUUUGCUUUCUUUUUUUUCUGAUAAAUAGAAAUUUGAAAUCAAAAUUACUUGCAAUAAUACAAACAAGCCGAGAAUUACAAAUUUUAAAUGGUUGUGAACUAAACACAAAAGCAACAGCAACUAAAUGCCCGAGCGCCAAAACGUAGUCUAUACUCGUGCCGAAGCGAAGAAGAUAAAUAAAAUCAACACUGUUUGCUGUGCCCAAAAUUUAUAUAUUUUUUGAACGCAACAAAGUUAGAAAAAAAUAAAUAAAUAAAUAAUUAAAAAUAAAAAUUUUGAAACAAAAAAAGUACAAUCAGAAAAUCAAACAAAGUCCAUGUAGAGAACCGAAAAUCAAAGCGUAAUCAAGUGAAACUGACUUAAGCUAAAGAAUUCGCCAAAUUCGAUUCGAAGCACCGAAUUCGAAAAUAAUGCCCAAAACCACAAAUGCAAUAGACCAAAUAAAGCGCGUACAAAAUGAAAGUUAAAACUUAAAUUCAAAAAUGAAAUGUAAGCUAAAAAGCUGAGAAUAAAAUAGCAGCUCAUUUCAAAAGGUAGAAAUAAUGAAAAUAGAAAACCGCCCGAUCAUGUAUCGCGAGUGCUAAUCUCAUUUUCGUGUGAAUGGCAAAUGGCACACAAUUAACGAUUGCAUACUUUCUGCCACUACCCACCAGUGUUGAGCUAAUGCAAAAGCAACAAUUAGCCGCUUGUUCAUUGCCGCCCCUUUAAUGCUACACACAAGGGCUAAUUAUUUUAUAUUCUCACGCGAAUGUGACUGGCAUGCGAGAUACAUAAUUCGGUUGCUAAAAACCCCCUCGUAUUGAGUAAGGCAAUUACAAAUUUCUUUUGCUUAUCAUUACAGUAACGCGUUUCCUUAAUUUUCAUUUUAGAAAAUUUGCAUAAAGCAAGAAAUAAUAUUUUUUAAUAAAAACUCGAAGAUAAUUAGUACUUUAAGUGUUGAAUUAAGAAUUGUGUAAAUUUUAAAAAUUGAGCAAAUAGCAUAAAAAGUACAUUUCUAAAGUAGUAGUGAAAAUAUUGAAUACUAUAUAUUUAAAAGUUUUAAAUGAAAAAGUGAAGUUUAAAAAUAAUAUUUAGUAAUAAAAUAUAAAAUUUAAAAUAGCGAAAAUAAAAAAAAAUUAAUUAAAAAAAAAAUAAUUAUUAAAAAAAAUUAAUUAAUAUAUUAAAGCAAAAUUAUUUUAAUUAAAAUUCAGCAAAUGCAAUUGACUCAAAAAGUUAAGUUACACGAAAGGAAAGCUCAAAAUUAGCUGCGAUAUUAAGAUUGAAAAUAUACAUACAUACAUACAUACAUACAUAUAUGUAUGUAUAUAGAUACCUAAACAAUGUAUGCAUACAUACAUACAAAUAUUAUAUAAAUUUAGCUACAAUAAUAAUACAUGAAGGGACAUUAGUUGAGAAUUAAGCGCUUGAGUUUUGGAAUUUCGCAUGUAUUUGUGUGUGUGUAAGUAGGUAUCGCGCUUUUUUCUACUGUCGCAUUUAGCGCUUGAAUUUAAUUAGUGGUAAAAGCACAUAGCUUUACAAGCAAGUAACGCCCAAAAGUAUGCAAUUAUCAAAAUAUUAGUAGUGCUAAAUAUUUCAGAUAUUUUAGAAAUUCAUUAUAUAAAUUUUGAAUUUUACAAAAUUUAUUUCGAGUUGUAGCAAAAGCUUGCGGUUAGUGAGAGGAUUUUUUUUUUUGUAAUUUUACGCAAAAAAGUAUGCAAUUUUUAUUAUGGUACUUAAAACUAAUCUCUACAGACGAUAAGGUUGCCUAUGGAGUUUUCUCGAAGGAAUUAGGCUGGAACUAUACGUUCGACUACCAGACUAUUGCAGCGUCUAUCACGUAGAGGUGCUAGCUAAAAGGGAAGUGAAGGGAAGGGUGCUAACAAAAACGACUAUAAAUAUAUUCUCGGAUAGCCAGGCGGCCAUCAAAUCAAUGAUUGCGGCUAUACUAAGAUCGAAGGUUGCACAGGAAUGCCGGGCAGCUCUAAAUGAUAAUAAUGCCGUAUUCAAAGUCAGCCUUAUUUGGGUUCCGGGGCAUAGAGAUAUUGAGGGAAACUGUAAAGCUGAUGAGCUAGCCAGGAAAGGUACUGCUCUUCAACUGUUCCGUGAUAAAAGUACCAUUGGAAUACCCAUGGGCACGAGUAAGCUAAUAAUAAAAAAACACAUUAUCCAAGGAGCCAACGUGUCUAACAGCUAAGCUACUAGGGCCGCAAAUAAACAAGAAAAGAACAAAGGAAUUGAUUAGUCUCUCAAGAGACAAUAUCUCGAAGGCCAUGGCUUGUUUAACCGGUCAUUGGCUAUUUGGCAGGCAUUCCUCGAGACUAAGGGUUUUCUCUCAUGAAUAUUGCAGAAGUUGCCGAGAUGAGGAAGCGGAAGAAACAGUUGAGCACUUCCUCUGCAAUUGUCCAACCCCAACUAAAAUUAAAGCAGGUUGUCUAGGUAAAUACUUUUUUAAUUUUCUUACAGAGCUGUCUGGCGUGGGGUUGGGAUCAAUACUACGUUUCAUAAGAGCCACAAAAUGGUUCCACGAAGGAACGUAAAUGAGGUUCCCGUGUAGCACAGUGGUAUCACAACGGACCUGUAAGGUCUAAGUGAGCUGGGCGUGCAGACCGACUACCACAAUAAUCUAACCUAAACUAACUAAUCUCUCUUAUUUAGUUUAAUUUAUUUGUAACCAUUAUUUUAUUUAAAAAUUCCAUUGAAAAAAUAUACAGUGGUCUACAUUUUCAUGAGCGGCUUUAUCAAAUGAACUGUUUUUUGCACAAAGGGACUACUAAGCUGACGCCCAAAAUAAAGAAAAUAAAUGCAACUAUUUUUUUUUUCCUUGUUCACUCCUCUCGGGAGCAUAGGGUCUCGACAAGAUUCAGGCUUGCGUUGGUUUCGUUAAACUAUUUGAUUUCUGACAGGGUAGAUGAUCAACCUGCCGCUGUCAGUCCUAAGUAAUGGGAAUGCCCAUCUGUCGUUACUUAGGAACAACGCCUUCUUACUGCUUAGAGCGCCAUCUGUGUUUCGCAUUUUUCUGCCAGAAGGAUCGCACAGAUGGUUGAGGUCUUCGCUAAAUUUUGUGUGUCUGCGCUACUACCGCGGCUGCACGCUUCCUCUUGCUGACGCCACUGAUGCAAUGUGUAACUGUGUGUUUUUCUUUGUUUUUGCUUGUUUUAGCAGCCACAAUGCAAAUAAUGCGCUGACUAUUUUGCGGGCGUAAGGGUGGAAAGGAUAAGUUUUUGGGUUUGAGAAAAGAGUUUUUGAAGUGAAACGUCUUAGGCAUCGAUGGACGAGCGAGAAUGGAGAGUAAAAUUUCAAGGCCAUGCAACGUUUUGGGCAUUUUCGUUCCGCGAGAGAAAAAAAGGAUAUAUCGUAGAGGAAAAGGAGAGAAAGAGCUAUACUUUAUAUAUAUCAUAGAUACACUUGAGGCUAUUUUUCCUGAGUUUUUCCUUGUGCUUGCUAAUUUCUAGAGAGAAAUAACAUUGCCUACUUUUUGGCGCUUGUUUGUUGAUGCAAGCUUGUAGGAAAUAUAUUUUGGUGCCUACUUUACGGCGUUAUAUUUCCUUGGUGCCUACUGUUUGGGGCGUUUUUUGGUCCUAAUUUUUUGGGGUUUGUUUUUUUGGUGCCUACUUUAUGGCGCUUAAUUAGGAGUUGCCCGCCAAUCCAUUUCCAAGCGAUUGCAUACUUUGGAAAUGAUUCAGAAACAGGUGAUUUAGGUUCCUUAUGAGUCAAAACGCUCGGCCUCACGUUGCCAAGCCCGUUAAAACCUACCUGGAAACACUAAAAUGGGAAAUCCAACCCCACCCGCCAUAUCCUUCAGACAUUUCGCCGUCCGAUUAUCACCUGUUCCGAUCGAUGGCGCAUGGCCUAGCUCACCAGCAGUUCCAUUCAUAUGAAGACAUCAAAAAAUGGCUUGAUCCGUGGAUAGCCUCAAAAGAUAAACAGUUUUACCGCAACGUUAUACGAGGUCUACCAGAAAGCUGGGUAAAAGUGUAAAAGUAAUAUAGUAGCCAGCGAUGGGCAAUACCUUCCAUGAUUCACUGGCAACGAUUAUUUCAGAAUAAAGUUGUGUUUUCAUCAAAAAAACAGCGAGAACUUAGUUGCGCACCUAAUAAAAAUAAUUAAAAUGUUUAAACUUUUAAUGAACAUUUUUCAAGUUCUUAUUGAUUCUGUACAAAGUUGGAAACUUUGACUUACAUGGUAUUUGUUGUGGCAUGAACUACAUUUUUAUAAAGAACUAAUGAAAAUUAGCCGCCAUUCGGCCGCCGUAGCCGAACGGGUUGGUGAGUUAUUACCAUUCGGAAUUCACAGAGAGGUCGUUGGUUCAAAUCUCGGUGAAAGCAAAAUUAAUAAAAAAAACAUUUAUGUAAUAGCAAUGGCAAACCUCCGAGUGUAUUUCUGCCAUGAAAAACUCCUCAUAAAAAUAUCUGCCGUUCGGAGUCGGCUUGAAACUGUAGGUCCCUCCAUUUGUGGAACAACAUCAAGACGCACACCACAAAUAGGAGGGAGGAGCUCGGCCAAACACCUAACAGAAGUGUACGCGCCAAUUAUUAUUUUUUUUAUUUUUUUAAUGAAAAUUAAAACAAAAAAAAAUUUUUUUUUAAUCUAAAAAAAUAAUAAAAAUAUACCAAAAUAUUGCAAUGCGCCUAGAUGUAUGCAAGUAGUUUCCCAUAAGUUUAGAAUUUUUAAGUGUUUUGCAGCAUAAUUCGUUUCAUACCUCUGCUAUAAAGCACAAAAUAAGGCCACCUUUUACCAGCCACAUGCCGAAAUGAACCUUAAAAUGUUGAAAAUUUAAUAAAAACAAUUCGUUCCUCUUCAAAAUGUCACUCCUUUCAUGACGCGAGUAGAUAUGCCAGAAUCUACAAUGUUACAGUGACAGUGAAAACUUUUCGUAUUAAAAUUGAUUUUCGUUAUUAAAUCCAGCUAUCACAUUUAGAAGAGACUUGCACAUACAAUUUUCAUAUAUUUAACCUUUUCGUUGGCAUUGUCAGAGGAUUAUUUACAAUUACAAUUAAACUCGCUCGCGCCCAAUGGAUGUGACGUUGAAGAGUAAAGCCUUUGAUGCCGCGUAAUAAACGUAAUAAUAAUUCAAAAUAAUUAAUGAAAGCUGUACGCGCACCCGCGCCCACUCCUCCCCACUUCCCUGUGCCGUAAUUAUGUAAGCCACUCACUGUUGCGCCCAGGCGUAGCCCUCCACCAUAUGCACCUACGCCUGGCGUUAAUAACAUAAAUGCAAAAGCGUGAAAAAUUGGAUUAAUGUGUGCGUAUUUUUGCGAGCCAACAAACAAAGCGAACAAAAGAAAAGAAGGGGCGGCAUUUGAAAGCGGUGAUGACAGUUAAUUAAAAGAAGUACACUUUCUUUUGAGCGAAUGAACAAAAGCCAAAUGAGAACACAUGAAACAGCAAACGGAAAAGGCCAAACGCGAGACACAAAGUACAAUUUUUGGAAGCUUGCUUUUAGGCGCGCAUUAACGGAAAUGUUGCGUACAUAUACAAACAAAGGGCAAUUAUUAUGCGAAUUCUCACACUUGCACAUGCAAAUUUUUUUUUUUUUGUUUUUUUGCGCGCGUGAAACUUUUAUCGCGCAGAUGCAUACCUACAUUUGGAUUUAAUAAAUUUUAGUGCCGCCAUAUGUAUGUAUGUGUAUGUAUGCUAUGAUUUCCGGCGUACAAUUUGCAAUAUACCAAAGUGGCGUGCGUAAAGCGCACAGGGAAGGUGUCGAAAACGCGCGGAAAUGCAGUGAAAUGGUGUGGAAUUUUUUUAUGUGGCAUUCAUGUAGGUGUGGUAAAGUGUUAACACUCGCACUGAUACUUUUCACUGUAUAGGCAUCUGUAUAUUUUAUGCUUGGCAACAGCCGCAAUAUUAAUAAAUUUAUGCUUGACAUUUUUAUUAUGCGUAUUCGCAAAUAAAUUUCGCAUUAAAUAAAUCCUUUUCUACUUGUGUGUACUCGUGGUCAUGUAUGCAAAUAAGCAUAUGUACAUUCAUGGUCAUUAAAAUAGGAACACCCCACACUCAUAUGGAAAAUGCAGGUAACAGAUAUUCAUUUGUAGGUGGUUUUUCUUCUUCUACGCUUUUAUUUAUUUACUCAUUUAGUAAAGUUAGAAAUUCAAUGUUUCUUACAGACUACAAAGAAUUAACAGCUUGUAAGAAUUAUAUAUAACACAUUGACUGAAAAGUCCCGGACCUAAGAAAGAAAAUUUUUUUUUUUUUUUGUUCAAAAUUAGCUUUAUUCAGCAACGUAAUUUCCAUCAAGAACAAAGCAACCAUUCCAACUCAGCUCUAACAUUUCAAUACCACUUUUGUAGAACGAUUUAUCUUUUGCCUCAAAAUCCUCAAAGGCCUUAGUUUCAGUGAACACCUCUUCAUUCGAUCGAAAUUUCUUACCGGCGAGCAUUUUUUUUUAUUCUGCGAACAGCCAGUAGUCACUGAGAACCAAAUCUCUCGAAUACAGUGGAUGUGGGAUCAAAUCGAAGUUCAAUUCGUAUAGAUUUGCCAUUAUUUUUAUUGGCUUGUAACACGGUGCGUUGUCUUGAUGAAACAAAACAGUGAGCAAACGCGGCACGCUAGUGAAUUGGAUUCGUUCGAUGCUAGCCCAAAGAAUCGUCUCGGUGUGAGCAGUGGAAGAUUUGCUGGUGUCAUCCGUGGUUAAUAGAGGUUGCCCCCAAGGCGGUGUGCUGUCUCCUUUCCUCUGGUGCAUGGUGAUCGAUCAUCUGCUUACCACCUUGAACGACUUUGGAGUCUACGCACGGCAUAUGCGGACGACGUUGUCUGUUUGCCUCUCGAGAGAGUCAGGAGGGCCUUAUCGAGACUGCGUUGUAGUGACCACCUGUUGCAUCGGAGCUUUUCCGACUACUUUGGGUCCGGCAUUACCUAGAUGCUCUGGUUGGUCUACUACCACUUUCUGUUUUCAUCCAAGGAGAGGCCUUGAAGGUCAUCUGCAGAAGCAUUGGACACAGAAGCAUUGGACAACAGAGCAGGCAGGGACUUCGAUUCAACAAUCCUCGUCAUGCCCCUUGACUCCACGCCAUCAAGAGUCGUGCUUGACAAGAGAUACAGUGUGGUGCUGCCAGAGGCUCAACUGUGGUCAAACUUAGAAAAUGAGCUGGGCAAACACUGUUUUCGCAUUUUCACGGAUGGCUGUAGGACCGAGCACGGAUCCGGCUCUGGAGUCUACGUGGAAUCAAGCGGAACGCAACUGCACUUACCUCUUGGAAUUCCUGCAUCUGUGUUUCAAGCGAAGGUGUAUGCUGUUCAAGAAGCGACGAACUUUGUUGUGGAAAACAGGGGUAGGGGUAGGGAAGCCUUGUAAAUCCAGGCUGAACAAUGGCGGUAGAUAUAAUAGCCUGAUGCUAACAUGGGUCCCGAGACACGUGGGUAUCGCAGGUGACGUGAUCUCUGCCUCUUUAGCCAGAAUGGGCUCUGAGGCUAACUUCCUUGGCCCGGAGCCCGUUUUGCCACUCCCUUCUGCAGCCAUCAAAGCCACGGUUAGCCAACGGGUUACUCUAACUCACAAGCGAG